rnacentral:rRNA from 1 species
CCUACGGGUGGCUGCAGUGGGGAAUAUUGGGCAAUGGGCGCAAGCCUGACCCAGCAACGCCGCGUGAAGGAAGAAGGCUUUCGGGUGGUAAACUUCUUUUCUCAGGGACGAAGAAAGUUACGGUACCUGAGGAAUAAGCCACGGCUAACUACGUGCCAGCAUCCGCGGUAAUACGUAGGUGGCAAGCGUUAUCCGGAUGAAUUGGGUGUAAAGGGCGUGGAGGCGGGAGCGCAAGUCAGAUGUGAAAACUCAGGGCUCAACCCUGGGCCUUCAUUUGAAACUGUGUUUCUUGAGUGCUGGAGAGGCAAUCGGAAUGCCGGGGGUAGCGGUGAAAUGCGUAGAUAUACGGAGGAACACCAGUGGCGAAGGCGGAUUGCUGGACAGUAACUGACGCUGAGGCGCGAAAGCGUGGGGAGCAAACAGGAUUAGAUACCCGAGUAGUC